GAUGAAGAACGUAGCGAAAUGCGAUAAGUAAUGUGAAUUGCAGAAUUCAGUGAAUCAUCGAAUCUUUGAACGCACCUUGCACCCUUUGGCAUUCCGAAGGGUAUGCUCGUUUGAGUGUCAUUGUACUCUCACACUCUCCGAUCCUAUGGAUUCGGGGAGCGGUGGACUUGGGUGUUGCUGCCUUUCCCUGUGGCUCACCUCAAAUGCGUCAGUGCACCUCUUGGUUGGACAUAGUACGGCGUGAUAAGUGUCUUCGCCGGCACCUCGUAAGAGGGUGGCCGAUCGGGAGCUCUGCGCUUUCAAACCGUCUUCGGACAAUUUCUGACAUCUUGACCUCAAAUCGAGUAGGACUACCCGCUGAACUUAAGCAUAUCAAUAAGCGGAGGA
rnacentral:misc_RNA from 1 species